GACUUGGGUCUCAUUGGCGGGUCUGCUGGAGCCAAGAGACCUGGACCUAUUUUUCUUAUCUCUACAGCGAAGGAUUUGGACAUGAUCAACCUUUAUGCUUACUCCAUUUGUAAAAUCUAUUAUGCUUCUAAGAUUUAUAGAUGAUAGUGAUAUUCUUGAUUUUAUUCUUAAAAUUAUAUUGGGUAAAACCCAAGAUAAUAUGACAGACACAAAUAUAAUUUUGGUAUGGAUACAGUUCCAAAUAUAAUUUUGUUAUGGCUACAAUUUCACUCUCUUAUUUUCCCUGAGUGACAGAGCAAAUCUGAUAUGCUUUAAUAAUUUUGUCAUCUAUUAUAAAAAGUAAGUGUAUGUUCAUUAAGUAUAUCUAUCUCUAUAUAUGCCUUUCAACUUAUAAUAGCUAAUGCUUAUUUUUCUUCACACAGAACAUUGGAAUGCACAUUUAUAUGCUAUGGAGAAUAUCUGACAAUCUCACAGUGACUUUAAAAGCUAUCUUCUGGUGGAUCCUCUUGGAAAACAUAGACCCAAUUCUUGUGAGAUCUGUCAGUGAGUCUCCCCUCCUGCUCUGCAUCUCUGAGGACCGUGCCUCAGCUCCAGAAGAAUGAGCCUGAACAGCUUGGACUGUCACCUUUGGCAGGUCCCUGCUCUUUGGUGAAGCCUUGUCAUAACCACUGGAAAACUGGAUCCAGAGUUUCUAAUAAUCCCUUAUUACCUUUUGGAAGAAAUGUUAACACUUGAGGUAAGUUAUCUUAGGAUAUUUUAGGAUACUUACUGCCUUUGAACCUCAGCUUUCUCAGCUAUCAAACGAGGAAAACACUUCACAGCCCACAGGUUUGUUGUGAGGCUGAUGUGAGACGACAAGCAUGAACCUGUUUUGUAAAUGGCAGGUUGGCUACAUGACUGGGUGGUGGACUUAUUUUAGUCAUGAUUGCUAUUUUUAGAAAGAUAAGGUCACACUUAUCUGCAAAUGGGUAAGCACCACAUAUGUGAACUAUAAACUAUAUCCAUCCUCUCCCAAUGUGUACAUUCUGACCUGCACUCAAAGAAAAAAAAAAGACAGACAAAUGACUAUAUUUCCUAAGGCUAUCCAGGACUACUACGCUCUGAAGCAAAGAUGUAAAAUUAACCACACAUCACACACAUAUUUACAACUGGCAAAUGAGCUCUUCAUAAGAAGGCAUAGUUGGGGCUAUGGUUUCUAGAUUAAUUUUUACCAAUGCAGAUAAAAUGUACUUUCUUUAAAUUGGAGACUGAACGCCUGCCAAUUUGAGGGUUAGUGGUCAAAGAAGGUAAUGAUCUUACCAUAUAAUGCCUGGAUCCCUUUCACAUCAUCUUUGGGGAGGUGGAAUCCAUAGGGAUUCUGGUA